GGCAGCAAGAGAGUGAGAAUGGAAACUGCAAGAUUUCUUGAUUCCUUGCUUAGAAAUAACACAAUGUCACUUCAGCUGCAAGUACCAAGACACCUGAAAUUGUGUCCUGAAAAUGCAUACAACAAGACAGAGAAAUUUGCUGAAAAAGCACCACAGCAAGAAACAACUAACACAUCCAAUCACCAAAAAGAAGAAAGUGACCAUGCUAACUCCUUUACAACAGACAAUCCAGUCAGCCAUCCUGAACAACUUGUCUCUGCAGAUCCAGGU
rnacentral:lncRNA from 1 species